rnacentral:pre_miRNA from 12 species
GGUUCUGGUCCAUCUCUGCUGCCCAUGGUGCAGUGCUGCAUCUCUGGUCAGUUGAUAGUCUGAGAUGAAGCACUGUAGCUCGGGACGGAGGGCAGGAGUCUCAGUC